UGUAACGGAGGCGCCCAAAGGUUCCCUCAGCCUGGUUGGCAAUCAGGUGUCGAGUGCAAGUGCACAAGGGAGCUUGACUGUGAGACUGACGGGUCGAGCAGGGACGAAAGUCGGGACUAGUGAUCCGGCACCGGCAUGUGGAAGCGGUGUCGCUCAACGGAUAAAAGGUACCCCGGGGAUAACAGGCUGAUCUUCCCCAAGAGUCCAUAUCGACGGGAUGGUUUGGCACCUCGAUGUCGGCUCGUCGCAUCCUGGGGCUGGAGUAGGUCCCAAGGGUUGGGCUGUUCGCCCAUUAAAGCGGCACGCGAGCUGGGUUUAGAACGUCGUGAGACAGUUCGGUCUCUAUCCGCCGCGCGCGUCAGAAACUUGAGGAAGGCUGUCCCUAGUACGAGAGGACCGGGACGGACGAACCUCUGGUGUGCCAGUUGUCCUGCCAAGGGCACUGCUGGUUAGCUACGUUCGGAAGGGAUAACCGCUGAAAGCAUCUAAGCGGGAAGCCUGUUCCAAGAUGAGGUUUCUCACCCCCUCGAGGGGGUAAGGCCCCCCACAGACCAUGGGGUUGAUAGGCCAGAACUGGAAGCGCGGUAACGUGUGGAGGUGACUGGUACUAAU
rnacentral:rRNA from 1 species